GUCGAGCGGGGAAGUGUAGCUUGCUACAUUACCUAGCGGCGGACGGGUGAGUAAUGCUUAGGAAUCUGCCUAUUAGUGGGGGACAACAUUCCGAAAGGAAUGCUAAUACCGCAUACGUCCUACGGGAGAAAGCAGGGGAUCUUCGGACCUUGCGCUAAUAGAUGAGCCUAAGUCGGAUUAGCUAGUUGGUGGGGUAAAGGCCUACCAAGGCGACGAUCUGUAGCGGGUCUGAGAGGAUGAUCCGCCACACUGGGACUGAGACACGGCCCAGACUCCUACGGGAGGCAGCAGUGGGGAAUAUUGGACAAUGGGGGGAACCCUGAUCCAGCCAUGCCGCGUGUGUGAAGAAGGCCUUUUGGUUGUAAAGCACUUUAAGCGAGGAGGAGGCUACUCUAGAUAAUACCUAGGGAUAGUGGACGUUACUCGCAGAAUAAGCACCGGCUAACUCUGUGCCAGCAGCCGCGGUAAUACAGAGGGUGCGAGCGUUAAUCGGAUUUACUGGGCGUAAAGCGUGCGUAGGCGGCUGAUUAAGUCGGAUGUGAAAUCCCUGAGCUUAACUUAGGAAUUGCAUUCGAUACUGGUCAGCUAGAGUAUGGGAGAGGAUGGUAGAAUUCCAGGUGUAGCGGUGAAAUGCGUAGAGAUCUGGAGGAAUACCGAUGGCGAAGGCAGCCAUCUGGCCUAAUACUGACGCUGAGGUACGAAAGCAUGGGGAGCAAACAGGAUUAGAUACCCUGGUAGUCCAUGCCGUAAACGAUGUCUACUAGCCGUUGGGGCCUUUGAGGCUUUAGUGGCGCAGCUAACGCGAUAAGUAGACCGCCUGGGGAGUACGGUCGCAAGACUAAAACUCAAAUGAAUUGACGGGGGCCCGCACAAGCGGUGGAGCAUGUGGUUUAAUUCGAUGCAACGCGAAGAACCUUACCUGGUCUUGACAUAGUAAGAACUUUCCAGAGAUGGAUUGGUGCCUUCGGGAACUUACAUACAGGUGCUGCAUGGCUGUCGUCAGCUCGUGUCGUGAGAUGUUGGGUUAAGUCCCGCAACGAGCGCAACCCUUUUCCUUAUUUGCCAGCGGGUUAAGCCGGGAACUUUAAGGAUACUGCCAGUGACAAACUGGAGGAAGGCGGGGACGACGUCAAGUCAUCAUGGCCCUUACGACCAGGGCUACACACGUGCUACAAUGGUCGGUACAAAGGGUUGCUACCUAGCGAUAGGAUGCUAAUCUCAAAAAGCCGAUCGUA
rnacentral:rRNA from 1 species